rnacentral:rRNA from 1 species
GUGUCAGCAGCCGCGGUAAUACGUAGGUGGCGAGCGUUGUCCGGAUUUACUGGGCGUAAAGAGCGCGCAGGCGGUCGUGCAAGUCGGAUGUGAAAGCCCCCGGCUCAACUGGGGAGGGUCAUUCGAUACUGCUCGACUCGAAGGCGGGAGAGGGAAGCGGAAUUCCCGGUGUAGUGGUGAAAUGCGUAGAUAUCGGGAGGAACACCAGUGGCGAAGGCGGCUUCCUGGCCCGUUCUUGACGCUGAGGCGCGAAAGCUAGGGGAGCGAACGGGAUUAGAAACCCCCGUAGUCC